AUACUUACCUGGUAGGGAUGAUACCAUGAUCACGAAGGUGGUUUGCCUGGGGCGAGGCUUAUCCAUUGCACUCUGGAUGUGCUGACCCCUGAGAUUUCCCCAAAUGUGGGAAACUUGACUGCAUUAUUUAUGGUAGUGGGGGACUGUGCUUGUGCUUUCCCCUA